AGACGUCUACGAGUUUGAUCAUGGCUACAGAACGAACGCUGGCGGCAGGCCUAACACAUGCAAGUCGAGCGCCCGCAAGGGGAGCGGCGGACGGGUGAGUAACGCGUGGGAACGUACCCUUUGCUACGGAAUAGCCUCGGGAAACUGGGAGUAAUACCGUAUGUGCCCUUCGGGGGAAAGAUUUAUCGGCAAAGGAUCGGCCCGCGUUGGAUUAGGUAGUUGGUGGGGUAAUGGCCUACCAAGCCGACGAUCCAUAGCUGGUUUGAGAGGAUGAUCAGCCACACUGGGACUGAGACACGGCCCAGACUCCUACGGGAGGCAGCAGUGGGGAAUCUUAGACAAUGGGGGCAACCCUGAUCCAGCCAUUCCGCGUGAGUGAAGAAGGCCUUCGGGUUGUAAAGCUCUUUCAGCUGGAGUGAAACGGUGCGCUCUAACAUAGCGCGCUAAUGACGGUACCAGCAGAAGAAGCACCGGCUAACUACGUG
rnacentral:rRNA from 1 species